UGGGGAAUUUUGGACAAUGGGCGAAAGCCUGAUCCAGCAAUGCCGCGUGUGUGAAGAAGGCCUUCGGGUUGUAAAGCACUUUUGUCCGGAAAGAAAUCCUUGGCUCUAAUACAGUCGGGGGAUGACGGUACCGGAAGAAUAAGCACCGGCUAACUACGUGCCAGCAGCCGCGGUAAUACGUAGGGUGCAAGCGUUAAUCGGAAUUACUGGGCGUAAAGCGUGCGCAGGCGGUUUGCUAAGACCGAUGUGAAAUCCCCGGGCUCAACCUGGGAACUGCAUUGGUGACUGGCAGGCUAGAGUAUGGCAGAGGGGGGUAGAAUUCCACGUGUAGCAGUGAAAUGCGUAGAGAUGUGGAGGAAUACCGAUGGCGAAGGCAGCCCCCUGGGCCAAUACUGACGCUCAUGCACGAAAAGCGUGGGGAGCAAAACGGGAUUAGAUACCCUGGUAGUCCACGCCCUAAACGAUGUCAACUAGUUGUUGGGGAUUCAUUUUCCUUAGUAACGUAGCUAACGCGUGAAGUUGACCGCCUGGGGGAGUACGGUCGCAAAGAUUAAAAACUUAAAAGGGAAUUUGAC
rnacentral:rRNA from 1 species